CUUGGUCAUUUAGAGGAAGUAAAAGUCGUAACAAGGUUUCCGUAGGUGAACCUGCGGAAGGAUCAUUAAUGAAACAAACCGGGGGCGGCGGGGCGCGGCCUCGCACCGGCGGAGACGCCGUUGUGCGGGCUCGUCCUGGCCCCCUUCAUCCCAACCCACACACCUGUGCACCAAAGGGACGGCGGGUGGAUAACGCACGCCGUCUCGCUUUAACAAGCUCAAAAGUCUAUUUUGAAUGUCAUUUAUUCGGGCUAGCCCCGAUGUAACUUAAACAUAACAACUUUCAACAACGGAUCUCUUGGCUCUCGCAUCGAUGAAGAACGCAGCGAAAUGCGAUAAGUAAUGUGAAUUGCAGAAUUCAGUGAAUCAUCGAAUCUUUGAACGCACCUUGCGCCCAUUGGUAUUCCGAUGGGCAUGCCUGUUUGAGUGUCUUGAAAUCAUCAAGCCCGUUCGGUUUCACCGCCGAGCGUGGGUUGGACUUGGGGGCUUGCCGCUUCGCCGCGGCUCCCCUUAAAUGCAUCGGUUUCGGGUCUCUGUGGGAGUAACCCCUUGGGCGUUGUAUAACCCUCGCUGUCUGGGAACUCCACGCGACGUCCGCGUCGUUGAAGGGCCUUGAAGAAACCUCGACCUGCUGUAGAGUGGCGGUCAUUGUUAAAUCGAAAUCUGACCUCAAAUCAGGUAGGACUACCCGCUGAACUUAAGCAUAUCAAUAAGCGGAGGAAAGGGCGAAUCGCGGCCGCUAUAAC
rnacentral:rRNA from 1 species